CAAGAAUAUCACGCCCGGAAGAUCAUCAGCAAGUUCGCUUCUUCAUAGAAAAACUCAAACAACACCGCCCCUUCACUGCCAGUGGCGUAUUCACCUUGGAUCUUGGAAUUGCAGGACCGAUUUCCGCCAAUAUAUUGACCUACGUGCUGGUCGCUUUGCAGUUUGAUCUACCAGAAGAGUGAUGUGUUGACUACACAUUCAGGAUUUCUGGCAAUAAACAGUUUGUUUUUCUCAUCAGCCCCACUCAUUUCCUAUCGUGAUGGAUCAAGAAAGUAUAGAGGCGUAGUCUGUCAAGUUGAUUCAUUCCAGUAUCUUUGUAUUUUUUCAAAUGUAAUACUAGUAAUGAAGGUGAAAUAUAUAUUUGAGUUC